CAUGGAACGGAGACUACCAACUGCUCUAUUAGAAGUAAAAAAUGCGAUGUUGACGCUCUCUCCUGAUCCCCUUUCAUUUCCCUCUAUUGACGCUGCUCAGCUCACUGGUGCGGCCAAGGGGUGGCCAUCUACGGCGCCUGGAUUGGCUCCGUGUACGCUUCCUCGAUCUCUCCGGCCAGUCAACGGCGACGGAGCGAUAGCAGGGCUCGAUGAGAAGCUGCGCAAUGAAGUUGCCAGGUCGUCGAUCUUGACAGUGCCGUUGUCGUCGGCGUGGCGAUUUGGGCAUGGAUCUCGUCUUCCGCAGCUAGCUUGGACCCACCAUGAUUGUGAGGUUGCUGGCGGCAUUGUCUUCCAUCGCAUCGUGGAUGUCCCCGAGCGAGGCAGCCCGGCAGGUCGUCUUCAUCCUCGACAGUGGCAGACUGACUUCGGUGGUUCAUUGUUGUACCUACGGGUCCCCCUUCUCCCUUUCCUGUCUCUCUCAUAUUUUUUUCUUUUUUCUUAUCCUUUUUCUGCAUGUGCCUGACUAAAUUAAUAUAAUGUGAUUAAGGCACAACUUAUUAUUAGUGAAAGGUAUAAAUAUUUUUAUGCCGCCUCCACCUUUUUAGAGUAAUUAGUUUAUUUGUGAUAAGCUAUAAUGUUACUAUUUCCCAAAUAUAGAAAUAAUUUUAAGAAGUGAAUAGGAAAAUAGGUGUGAUUGCAUUCUACAUACGAAUGAUACCAAUCUGUGGAUGAUGUCACUUGUAUAAUAGAAUAAGCUUGAAAUAUCAGAUAAUAUAGUGUGGACAAUUGGUAUUAUUGAACUAUUUUUCCAAGAAAUAUUGUUGAAUGUCUCCAAUACUUCUGGGAAUAAUAAAUCAUGUCCGUGCUGUCAUAUCAUGUUAGCAUAGAACGUCUUUCUAUUGCGUCUCGCAAGCCAGCAUAUAAUUCCGUUCUUAGGUUUCCUUGAUGUCUUUUGAUCCAGUCUGGCUGUAGUGCAGAAUGCAUGCAAGGGCAUCCACAUUGUACUGAAAUUUAAGCUUUUCACACAUGUGUUUCAAUUGGUUAGUACAUUGUUGUAUAUCAUUCUCAUAGUAUUCCAACAUUCUACAUGCUUUCUCUUGCACUUUGCACCUUCUUUUAAUACUUAAUCUAUAUUUCCUCUGUACCUAUCUUCUUCAUAGGGGAAUAAUAGUGAAUACUGCAUAGCCAAGUUCUCUGAUAUUCUUCUCGGCCUCAUGUCUUUGUACUGAACAAUGAUAUCUUGUCCUUUUAUAUUCUCUGUUUCAUCAUGCACAAUUAUGGCUGCAACUUCAUUUGCAUAUGGCAUGCCAUGCCGUCUUAAUCUCACUCUAUGAUAAUCAACUUCUUCGAAUUUACCCAUUGCCAUUCUGAGUGUUUCGUUUUGAGCUGAUAUUCUGAAUGUUUUUCUAUUCUAUUAUCUCCAUCGAAAAUAUUUUAAGGCCCUCGACUAUGUGAGGAUCUGUUGACUCCCCUUUAUCUUCUGAUGUUGACGUGUUAACCAUGUUUUUACCUCAUUUGUAGUGUCAUAGGUGUACAACUGUGUCAUGCAUGGUUCUCUUUACCUUCAGGUAGUAGAGUACCUAUUUACCUCAACGUACAUUGUUUAUUUCUGUGCCUACCUUUCCUUCCACUAAUGUGAAAGCGACCAUGGAGUUAUACAAUAUGAUAUUUUGCAUGUAGUUUUUCCACCUCUUUCCGUUGUAUUUCCUUAGUAAUUUUCUAUGGUAAGACGACAGCGCUCUCUAUGGUGGAAAGUCAACCUUGUCCUAUUGUCUGCAUAGUCCAAAAGAUGGCAUGCUUCUCGCUCUACCUGAAGUUUUUUCUUUAUACCAAAAAAUUGCACCACGUCACUCACACUUGCAGCUUGGGUUCCGAUGUUCUGAAUUUCCAUAUUUGUCCUUUCCAGUGUCAUGUUCAUGUUUCUGAAUUCAACGUCAAUUUAAAUAUUUCUAAUGUCUGGUUGUUCUUGUUCGUACUAAUAAAACAACCUUAAUAGAACUUACAUAGCUGGUGUCUUAUUCAUUGUCCUGGAUUUUUAUGUUGUACAGUUUGUGUUAAUUUUAGUCAUGUACACGUGCAUAACAGAAAUAGCAGGUUCAUGAAUGUCCAAAUUGUAGAUCUUGAUUGAAUUUUGUUGUUGCUUACCUCGUAAUCUUACCAGACGGAGUGAUGUUGAAUUUUUUUGUCCUGCUGGUUCUUUGUAUUCUUCUUUUCCUAUAUAGUCUUACAUCUCUAGCUAUCUCUGUUGAAUUACUUGCCCUGCAUAAAUAUAAAUACCAAUGACAAAGUAAUAAUUGAUAACUACUGCCAGGACCAAAUGUAACAUGUUUUUUAUUUAAUUGAGCAGUUAAAAUUUGUUGCAGGUCAUGUGCAACUAUAGAGGAGGCCGGGCAUGAUAACCAUUUGUGUACGGUAAAUUGUGUAAGAUCAAAUAUUUGCACAUCAAAUCCACUGAGUUAAUGAAUUAACUUUUUGUAAGCCUGAAAGAAUGAAACACAUAGAUAGCACAAUUCAUGUCCAAAGCAUCAGCAAGCUAGAAUACUGCUUUGAGUAUACCUUACUACAGUCAUGCAUCAUGUAAGGAAAGUUUAGAAGUUGAAUUCAGAACAGUAAGUAAAGAUAGUGGAUGAUAAUAAUACCCAUAAGGAAAUAACUUCGUGAAGAUUUUCUUACCGCACGUGGUUCAAAGGUUGUUCUUUUGGCAUAGUUGUGCAGUCUGGCACAUCUCCGUGUAUUAUCAAAGGUUGUCUCUUUUUCUUGUCUCCAAGUUUCAUUCUCCUCCCAUCUUUUAAAUAGAUGUUGACUGAAUUCACAUGAAUAAGCUAAUAAUUUAUUUUUUCCCCAUCCAAGCUUAAAUCACAAACCCACAUGUGCCUAUCUUGAAUUGUUGCAUUAUAUAUUCUAGUUGUAACAUUCUUGUGAUACAACCUAUUAAAGAUUCAUGGUAAGUAACGGAUCAGCUUGUUGGAUUGUCUAUUUGAUGCUUUUAACCAUCUCGGCAGGUUUCUCACAUUUUUGCUAUGUGUCCCACCAUUUAUUUUGUUUGUUUCUUCCUGCACAAUAGAGAAUGCAUAUAUGAUUAAAGAAGAUGAUAUUGUAAAAUUGUUACAGUACAGAUCAAGGUUAUGAAGAUUUAUGAUUUUGAUUAUUUUUUUCAGCUUACAUAUUUUCGUCUUUGUUGUAGAAGACUAGAAGUAAAGGAGAUCAACUUCCAAGACCAGUGGAUGUAAAGUUCCAAUCUUCACGUGAAAACACAGCUAUUAUGGUACUUACUGGAGGUGGUCUGCUCACUCGAUGUUGCUGAUGGCGCAAUCUAGGAGAUUUAGGCGCUUGCUCGUGUUUUUUUUGGGAAAGCCAUCAUGGUGGUGUAUAUAUUUUUAUAAUAUUACAAAAUCAAUUUCAGUGAAUGUGUCCUACUUCAGUUCUAGAGGAUGCUUAAUUAAUAAGUUCAAUAGUAGAUGCAUAGAGAUAUAUAGAGAGAGACUUGAACCUUCUGUAGGUUAUUAAGUAUCUAAAUUUGGCUGUGGGGUGAACCAUCAGUACAAGUCGAA